ACAGAUGAGACAAAGAUUAACUUAUAUCAGAGUGAUGGCAAGAGCAAAGUAUGGAGGAGAGAAGGAACUUCCCAAGAUCAAAAGCAUACCACCUAAACAUGGUGGUGGGUAUGGUAUGGC